AAAACCACUCAAGCUCUUUUGCUUGGUCAUGGAAGAUGAGUGCCUUUGUGCUCUCACUUCCGAAAUACAAUGGCGGAAAGCCCCAUGUGCCCCGGCGUAGUAAGUUUUCUUUCGCUUGGACCUUGAGGUGAUCCUGCCACAAACCCCCAAUUUUUCUA
rnacentral:misc_RNA from 1 species